UAGCCAGCCUUCCGGCAUGCUUGGGGCUAGGGUGACUCAGUGCAUUCCUGCAGUGCUUGCUAGAAUGUCCUGAAAUGCUUUGAGGCUUUGCCCUGUCCCCCCCUCGGAGCGUGGUCAUAGGCAUUUCAGACAGUU